GAUGAACGCUGGCGGCGUGCCUAAUACAUGCAAGUCGAGCGAACAGGUGAGGAUCUUGCUCCUCUGACGUUAGCCGCGGACGGGUGAGUAACACGUGUAUAACCUACCUAUAAGACUGGUAUCACUUCGGGAAAGCGGCGCUAAUACCGGAUAAUAUAUUGAACCGCAGGGGUGAAUAGUGAAAGACGGUGUUGCUGUCACGUAUAGAUGGAUCCGCGCCGCAUUAGGUAGUUGGUAAGGUAACGGGUUACCAAGGCAACGAGGCGUAGCCGAACUGAGAGAGUGGUCGGCCACACUGGAGCUGAGACACGGACCAGACUCCUACGGGAGGCAGCAGUAGGGAAUCGUCCGCAACGGGCGGAAGCCUGACGGAGCAACGCCGCGUGAGUGAUGAAGGUGUUCGGAUCGUAAAACUCUGUUAUGAGGGAAGAACAAAUGUGUAAGUAACUAUGCACGUAUUGACGGUACCUAAUCAGAAAGCCACGGCUAACUACGUG
rnacentral:rRNA from 1 species